rnacentral:rRNA from 1 species
AUUGAACGCUGGCGGCAGGCCUAACACAUGCAAGUCGAGCGGAUGAAGGGAGCUUGCUCCUGGAUUCAGCGGCGGACCGGUGAGUAAUGCCUAGGAAUCUGCCUGGUAGUGGGGGAUAACGUCCGGAAACGGGCGCUAAUACCGCAUACGUCCUGAGGGAGAAAGUGGGGGAUCUUCGGACCUCACGCUAUCAGAUGAGCCUAGGUCGGAUUAGCUAGUUGGUGGGGUAAAGGCCUACCAAGGCGACGAUCCGUAACUGGUCUGAGAGGAUGAUCAGUCACACUGGAACUGAGACACGGCCCAGACUCCUACGGGAGGCAGCAGUGGGGAAUAUUGGACAAUGGGCGAAAGCCUGAUCCAGCCAUGCCGCGUGUGUGAAGAAGGUCUUCGGAUUGUAAAGCACUUUAAGUUGGGAGGAAGGGCAGUAAGUUAAUACCUUGCUGUUUUGACGUUACCAACAGAAUAAGCACCGGCUAACUUCGUG